rnacentral:lncRNA from 1 species
UGGCCACUUCAUCUUUUAGGUCAGUUCCUCACUUCUCAUCCAUGCGUGAGUCUAGUUUGUCCCCCUACACCUAGAGCUCGGGUGACGACUUUAGGAAUAUGGAUCCAGAGUCCGAGAUAGCUUAUUCUUUGGGCAGAUCCAAAGUUUCAGACUUUGAUCCAUUUAGAGUAGACUUCAUCCUCACUUCGAAGGAUUUGGAGAUUAUUAUGUUGAAAUAUCAAGUCCCAGUCGAAUU